ACAGGUGCCCUGGCAAUGGCUAGGUGCAGCUAACCCAGGAGGUGCUCUCCCAGGCGCUGCAUCCCAGGGAGACCCCAAGGUGUCACUACUCAGAAAGGACAGCAAUGACGAGAACCUGAGUCUCAGGCCGAGCAGUCCCAACCAGAAGGAAGAGUGGAAGAGCCUUACUAUCUGGCGAGUAAAACCCUCCAUGCCUGGGCAGACCCCAGGAACUCCACCCUGAACCUGUCAUUGCUCUAGGGUGCUCCCAUCAACGAGCUCUACAUUUUGAUCAACCGCUGGCUCUUCUCAUUCUUCAGGCUCCCAGUUCGAGACGCAUAGGGUGCAUUACCGUUAGAACUCCAGCACAUAUGACUUCAUUCUAUAGGAAGUCAAUUGGUUAUGAAAAAAAACAAAUGGGAAGCUUUGCCAGUUUACUGACACAGUCAGCUGGAAUCCUGUUGAGAACGCUCCAGGAGCAGUUGAUACAUAAAUGUAGAAGCGGGGUGAAGCCUUUCAGUCCUGUGAAAAGCUGUCACAUCUCCAAAAUUAAAGGGUGACUUUCUAAUUGGCAUGAGCAACAGUAGCAUCUAAUUUCCAACCUGUAUUUUAAGUGCCUGUCAGCUGUUUGCUGUUAUUCUGCUUCUCACGCUGCUUCAGGAGCUUAGCAUGGCACCUGACGCGAGACAGACUCUCAAAAAUGAUGCAGGAUGCAGAAUACAGCUGAUAGGCAUUCAACAAUUCUAAUCUCUAGACUUUCUGUUAAUCCACAAUCAUAAAAGCAAAUA